GAUGAACGCUGGCGGCGUGCUUAACACAUGCAAGUCGAACGGAAAGGCCCAAGCUUGCUUGGGUACUCGAGUGGCGAACGGGUGAGUAACACGUGGGUGAUCUGCCCUGCACUUCGGGAUAAGCCUGGGAAACUGGGUCUAAUACCGGAUAGGACCACUUCUUGGAUGUUGUGGUGGAAAGUUUUUUCGGUGUGGGAUGAGCUCGCGGCCUAUCAGCUUGUUGGUGGGGUAAUGGCCUACCAAGGCGUCGACGGGUAGCCGGCCUGAGAGGGUGUACGGCCACAUUGGGACUGAGAUCCGGCCCAGACUCCUACGGGAGGCAGCAGGGGGGAAUAUUGCACAAUGGGCGCAAGCCUGAUGCAGCGACGCCGCGUGGGGGAUGACGGCCUUCGGGUUGUAAACUCCUUUCGCUAGGGACGAAGCGUUUUGUGACGGUACCUGGAGAAGAAGCACCGGCUAACUACGUG
rnacentral:rRNA from 1 species